GUCUUCGUAGUAUAUCCAAAUACAUUGGUCUUGUAAACCAAAAACGGAGAAUGAACACCUCCCUAAGACU
rnacentral:tRNA from 1 species